UUUUUUUUUUUUUUUUUUUUUUUUUUUUUUUUUUUCGC
rnacentral:ribozyme from 1 species